UACGUAGGGGGCAAGCGUUGUCCGGAUUUAUUGGGCGUAAAGAGCGUAUAGGCGGCCAGGUAGGUCGGCUGUGAAAACUCGAGGCUCAACCUCGAGAUGUCGGCCGAAACCAUCUGGCUAGAGUCCGGAAGAGGAGAGUGGAAUUCCUGGUGUAGCGGUGAAAUGCGCAGAUAUCAGGAAGAACACCAAUGGCGAAAGCAGCUCUCUGGGACGGUACUGACGCUGAGACGCGAAAGCGUGGGGAGCGAACAGG
rnacentral:rRNA from 1 species